rnacentral:rRNA from 1 species
UGCCAGCCGCCGCGGUAAUACGGAGGGUGCAAGCGUUGUUCGGAAUUACUGGGCGUAAAGCGCACGUAGGCGGACUUUUAAGUCAGAUGUGAAAUCCCAAGGCUCAACCCCGGAACUGCCUCUAAUACUGCUAGUCUUGAGUUCGAGAGAGGUGAGUGGAAUUCCGAGUGUAGAGGUGAAAUUCGUAGAUAUUCGGAGGAACACCAGUGGCGAAGGCGGCUCACUGGCUCGAUACUGACGCUGAGGUGCGAAAGCGUGGGGAGCAAACAGGAUUAGAUA